GAAAUGAGUCAUGUUACAUGAAUGAUGAAUGAGCCCCAAAAUCCAUCCACACAGCACUAUAAAUACAUGGCUCGCUUUUGCUACAAUUUCCAUAUUUUUCCACUCACUAACUCUCCGGCCAUCAUCAUCACCACUGAACAGUGUCUCUGGGGCGAGGUCACAUCUAUUGCUUCCUGGUGAUUAGUGUUACUUAUAGGAAGGCAAAAGAAAAUUCAUCGAUCGUAAGCAUUUGCUAUUAAGCAGCCAUGGUUCCGCUUCUAGAAGUGGAUUCUUCAUGAUUAGGGAGAUGAAGAGUGCAUCAAAAUCUUGAAGAACUGUAGAGAAGCCAUCCCAAAAGAAAAUGGAAAGGUUAUUAUUGUAGAUCAAGUGAUUGAAGAGGGAAGUAAGCACGGAAAAUUUAAGGACGUAGGUUUGAUAUGUUGGACAUGGUAAUAAUGGCGCACACUAACUCAGGCAAAGAGUCAUCAAAAUGGAAGGAUUCAGCUCAUACACUGGAAUCCAUCCAUGCUCUGCAAUUUGUCAUUAUAGCUUUCUAUUAAUUUAACGAUUUUAGUUCUCGUAUUCUAUGAAUCAGCUGAAGCAAUUAAUCUUAAUUAUUGGAAGUCUACUGCUACGCACGUAACAAUUAUAAAGCUAAAUCUGAUAUGAAAUUUCCUCA